rnacentral:lncRNA from 1 species
AUUAAGCUACAGUAACCCUCUGCUAAUCAUGCCACGUCACCUCAAUUACUGUUGCUAAUCUCGCGUUAGUUUGAAACCGAUUCGAAUCCAAAUUAAAAAUCAGGCAAACAACAAAAGUUUUCAAACAAUGAAACUAAAAUGUUUGGGUCAUGCCAGAUAAUGCAUAGGUGAUUAUGGUAGUGAAACCAAACUUUUAUGAAAUGCUUAACUGCACUAAAAUGGUUUAAGUAGUAUAAAACCUAAUUAUUUAAAUGCCUUUACUAAUUAAUAAAAUAUCAAACUAAAUUAUUUGGGGACUAGACUUUUUGUGACAGUGGCCUAAAUUGAAAUACUAAAUUAGAAGCCAAGUAUAUAUUUUACAAAAACUAAAACAAUAGGAAACAAAGAGAAAACAGAAAAGAAAAUAAAUAAAAAGGAAAAGAUAAAAUGAAAAACAAAAGAACUAAUCUACUGGGCCUUGGCCCAGCUAGCCACUCCCUGUCAGGCCAGUCCACCUGACCCAGGUUGCCCUCCCUUAUUCCCCACCCCGAUCGAACCCUAGGGCAACCACCCCCACUUCCCCCAUCGAUCCAGAUCUGGAUCGGGAUCAUCCCCGUUGCCUCGCACGAACCCCCCACUCCUCCCGCACGAACCCCCGCUCCUCUUGACCGAGACCCCNNNNNNNNNNNNNNNNNNNNNNNNNNNNNNNNNNNNNNNNNNNNNNNNNNNNNNNNNNNNNNNNNNNNNNNNNNNNNNNNNNNNNNNNNNNNNNNNNNNNNNNNNNNNNNNNNNNNNNNNNNNNNNNNNNNNNNNNNNNNNNNNNNNNNNNNNNNNNNNNNNNNNNNNNNNNNNNNNNNNNNNNNNNNNNNNNNNNNNNNNNNNGCCCGACCCCCUUGCCACGGUGGAGCUCCACCUCACCAGCGUGCCCGCGCCCGAGGAACCGCCGCCUACCGCCUUCGCCCCGCCGCCCCUCAAGUCCAGGCGCCACCCCACCUCGUCUACGUCGUCUGCGUGAACCAGGUCAAGCCGGGGCGCUGCGGAGCCCUCGCCAUCGAUCCAUCCCCUCCGACCACGUCGCCUGCGUCGCCGCUCGAUCUGCACACUCUGGUCGCCCCCGACGCGUCUGAGCACGCCAACAGCUCCGGGGUGAGCUCCUGUGGCUACUCCCCCUCUCCCCCUCCUCUAUUCACCAUCGUAGGUCGCCAUACGCAUCGUCCGGUCUCUGGCCAGUGGGCUCGGUCACCGCGACCGUGACCGCGCCCAGCCUGCGUCGCCGUUACCCUGCCGCAUGUGCCCCGACGGCCUUGAACACACCCACGACCGUGCCCGCCGGCGAUGCUCUGCCUGCUGAUGCUCCCCGCUGUGUGCGUGCGCGCCCACGCCGCCCGCUGCCGUUUCCGUCUCGCAGCGGCCUUGCCGCGGCCCGCCGACGCGUAGCCUUGGCCCCCUGUGCCGCUGCUGUCGCUCGUCACUGUGGCCGCCGGCGCCCAGCGCCGUUCCCUCCCUAUCGACCUAGGCGGGUGCCCAGCGCCCGCUCCAGGCGCCCGCUAACACCGAACCCACGCCCAGAACGUUUUUAAAAAAAAGAAUUUUAAAAAUAUUAAUAAUAACAAUAAUAAAAAUAUUAGUUAAUUAGUUAAUUAAAGAAUUAAUUAACUUAAUUAAUCAUAAUUAGAUUAAUCUAAUCACUAAUUAAUCUAAUUAACUGUUAGUUAACUAAUCAGUCAAUGACAUGCGGGACCCCCACGUCAAUUUGACCCAGUCAACGCUCUGUUGAGUGCUGAUGUCAUGAUGACGUCAGCAUACACUAUUCUGGAUAAUGUUGGUUUAAAAUAAUUAAGUAAAUUCUAAAAAUUAUUUAAAUCUUUUAAAAUUAAUAUAAAAUAAACCGUAGCUCAGAUGAAAAUGUUUUCUACAUGAAAGUUGCUCAGAACGACGAGGCGAAUCCGAAUACGCAGCCCGUUCAUCCGCCACGCGUCCCUAGCAUAGUGAAUACGCAACUUUCCCCCUCCAGUUCAUCUGUCCAAAAACGCGAAACGCCGGGGAUACUUUCCCGGAUGUUUCCCCCCUUCACUGGUAUCGCCUCCUACUGCGUUAGGUCACCUCUAGCACCGCGUAUUGCCAUACUACGCUUUGUGAUACUUUGAUUGCUCUGUUAUUUAUUGUGUUCCCCCUCUGUUACUUCUUUCCGGUAGACCCCGAGGCUGCCGACGACCCCCCAGUUCGACUACGGAGUUGACGACCCCUCCUUGCCAGAGCAACCAGGCAAGCCCCCCCCCCCCUUGAUCACCAGAUAUCGCCUAUUCUUCUCUAUACUGCUUGCAUUAGAGUAGUGUAGCAUGUUAUUGUUCGGUUACUCCUAUUCUGUUGCAUAGCCUGUCAUUGUUGCUACAGUCAUUGAUACCUUACCCGCAAUCCUAAAUGCUUAGUAUAGGAUGCUAGUUUAUCACCAUUGGCCCUACAUUCUUGUCAGUCUGCCCUGCUAUACUAUUGGGCCAUGAUCACUCGGGAGAUGAUCACGGGUAUAUACUAUACAUGUAUACAUACUACAGAUGGUGACUAAAGUCGGGUCCACUCGAAGAGUACCCGCGAGUGAUUCACGGAUUGGGGGCUGAAAGGACCUUUGUCCCGACAGCCUUCUGUGUGGAUCUUUGUGGUGGAGCGACAGGGCGGGUUGAGACCACCUAGGCGAGAGGUGGGCCUAGCCCUGGUCGGCAUCCGCGGUUGCUUCAUAAUAACAUGCUUAACGAGAUCUUGGUAUUUGAUCUGAGUCUGGCCAUUUGGUCUAUACGCACUAACCAACUACGUGGGAAAGAUAUGGGCUGUCACAUCCCUAGUCUGGUAUGACUUAGACUAGCUAGCUAUUUGUGCAUCAUAUUUAAAUUUCAUUUAAAUUUGAAAUGAGGAUUGAUGGAAACCUCAGAAUCAUUUUUUGAAAAUGACCCAAAUAAAAAUUUCUCCAAAAGGGUCCAAGAAAAUGCUCAUCUUGCCCUCUGAAAAUAUUGGAUAGAGAUAAAAAUCAAAACAAUAUUUUUAGGAGCUCAUGGACAUUUAUUUUGGCCAUUUGGAUUAAUUCGAUAAAUAUUUGCAUUGGAAAGAUAUUUCUAUAUAUAUGAAAUAUGGUCCAAAAAUUAUGCCAAUUAUAAAAGAGCUCUGGAAUAAUACCAUUAGCCCCUACAAAAAUUGGCAUAAUAAAAUUAAAUGGUUUAAUAUAUUUAUUAAAUCAAACAAAUGUCAGAAAAUUAGAAAAGAAAACAGAAAAGGGGAGAGAGACUUACCUGGGCCACUUACCUGGCCCAUCUCCAGCUGGCGGCCAGCCCACCUCCCCGCUGCCUUCUGUCGUCUCCCUCCUCGGACAGAAGGACGAGGGCGUGUGCCCGACGCUCGCCGGCACGCGCGCGCGCCACCUCCCCCCCUGCUGGCCACCUCCUGCUUCCCCGGACUUCCUCCCAAUGCCACGGAGACGGCCACGCACCCCAGGCCCAGCCACGGCCACCGUUCGAUGCGCGGGAGCAAGAGCUUUCCAACGAGCCCAAGCACGGCCUCGCCCGUGCCCUGUAGCGCGAUCCCGCGUCGCGCCGCCGUCUCGGGCCUCGCCGGCGUCACGUCGCCGGUGGGUUUGACCCACUUUGACCACGGCAGGACCCCCCCUGAGUCCCUGACAGGUGGGCCCAGCCCUGUAGCUAAUUAGGAUUAGUGCUAACCACUAAUGGUUAACCCCCUGACACUGACAGUGGGCCCCCAGCGCCACUAACCCCUAAUUAGGAUUAAACUAACCCUGUUUAACCCCCCUAUCACUGACGUGUGGACCCCACACGUCAGGUUUGACCCCAGACUGCCGCAGUUGACCACUGACGUCAUGCUGACGUCAUGCUGGCGCAAUAAUUAUAAUUUCUGGAUUUAAAUUUAAUCAGGAAAUUCCAGAAUAUUAUUUAAACUUCAAAAAUUCAUAACUUUUAUUCUGUAACUCCAAAUUGGACAAAUUAUAUAUGAAAAAUGAUCAGAAAAAUCCAAUCUAUCCAUCUGUACUAUUUGCAUGCAUGAUCAAACAAGUUAAAUUGAUGUUUUAAGCAGAACAAGGAAAAGCACUUUAAAAGGCCAUGUUUGAGUUUGAAAUUUGAAUCUUUGAUUCAAAUUUGUUCAAACCCUUCUGGUUUUAGUUGCAUUAGCCCAACACACUCAUAUUGCCAUGUUCCAUGCAUGCAUCAUAUUGUCGCAUAUUGUUUGGUGAUGUUUGUGCAUCGCUGUCCUUUACGACAGGUUCUGCCUCCGAGGAGUACCGUGAUUACCCUAACGAAGAACCGUAUCAGUGCAUCGAACCAUCAGGCAAGCAACCAGCCAUUUGAUCAUAUCGAUACAAUCCCAUGUUCUCGCUCCUGCUCUCUUUUACUGCAUUAAGACAACGCGUUUCAAACUGCUGUGUGCUACGGUAGUUGAACCCUUUUCCUCUGCAUGACCUGUCAUUGCCACAGUAACUAGAUGAAACCCACUAGCAUGUGUAGGAGUUGAUUGAGCCAUAUGUAUGUGUUGUUCCUACCUUGCUAUGCCUGCUAUGCUUAGAGUCGUGUCAGGUCUGGUUCAUCUGGGUGAUGGGCUAGAGUGAAAUGCUUAUGUCGGUAAUGAGAGUGGUGUGGUGAACACGAUUUGGUAAAGGUAUCGAUGAGAGGCCAUGUAGGAGUACAUGGUGGGUUGUUUCAUUGAAGCCGACCUUAAGCACUGAGAUCUGUAUGUGUGAUUUAAGAAUCAGCUACUACCAUGCAUUGGGCCCGAAACCAAUGGACCCUCUCGGCUUCUUAUUCACCCUAGUUCUCCGUCCAGGAGUUGCAAGUAGUUUCUGGUGUUUGUAGCCUACUGGAGGCCGUGGACAGCGCUGACCGUAGGGGUGGGCUGUGAUGCGGUAGGUACGUGGCCGGGUGUACCGAAUACCCGUUAGGUAUCUCGGGAACCCUGUUCACAUCGUUCGGGGCCGUAUGGGAAACCUCGGCCGGACUCCCUGCAGAUGGAACCUGAAUAGGCAAUAAACCUGGACUAGAGGCUUAGGUGAUUAGGUAGGUCGUGGCCGACACCCACGUUGGGCUUCCGCUUGAAGGUUGCCGAGUACAUGUCGUGUAAACGACGGUAAGUGGUGAGAGCGUGUAUGAAGAAGUACACCCCUGCAGGGUUAACAUGAUCUAUUCGAAUAGCCGCGUCCGCGGUAAAGGACUACUUGGUUGCCGAUACAGUUCAUAGACAAGUAAAUGGAAACUACUAAAAGCCUCAAGAUAAGUGUGAGUGCCGAGGAUGGCCCUUCCGUAGGAAGACGGAGGUGGAUCCUCGGUAGUGUAUUGAAGUGGUGAGUAGUGGACUCGUGUGCGCAAAACCAUUUCAAGUUGGAGUAUCAUAGGAUAGUCUAGCCAAGAGUCAAAGCUGGCUUGCUGCAAUAACUCCACCAACCCUUCUUGAUAAUAUGCAUGUAUGUAGGAUCUGAUGUAAGUCUUGCUGAGUACCUUUGUACUCAUGUUGCUAUAAUCUACAUUUUUACAGAAGACGCUGCAACCCCUUCUGAUGGGUUCUGUGUAGACGUUGACAUCAACGAGUAGGCUAAGGACCCAGGUGGUGACCCUAAGCUUGUGAUGGACCACGUAGUAUAGCUAGGCUUUCCAAGCCUCUUUUAUUUUACUAGUUGUCUGUACUCAGACAAUGUACUUCCGCUGCUGAUUUGUAUGACUGUAUGACUUGUAUGUUGGGUCGUGAGACCCGUACCUUUGUGUAUGAUAUGUAUGGCUCCCUGAGCCUUAAAUAAAGUACUUGUGUCGUAGAGUCAUGUUGUGAUGCUUCGUUGUAUUUGCACAUAUCGAGCCUAUUGUGUGUAUGAUUGAAAUGCUUGGUAUGUGUGGGAUCUGACUAUCUAGUUGUUUAUCUUUAGUAGCCUCUCUUACCGGGAAAUGUCUCCUAGUGUUACCGCUGAGCCAUGGUAGCUUGCUACUGCUCUGGAACACUUAGGCUGGCCGGCAUGUGUCCUUCUUCGUUCCUGUGUCUGUCCCUUCGGGGAAAUGUCACGCUUUGAGUACCGGAGUCCUGUUAGCCCGCUACAGCCCGGUUUACCAGAGUCCUGCUAGCCCAGUGCUACAGCCCGGACCCAUUUGCUGAUGACCGACACGUUCGGAGCUGGGUCAUGGAUGCCUGUCCCUGUAAGUCUGUGCCACUUUGGGUUUACGACUAGUCAUGUCAGCCCGGGCUCCUUAUCAUAUGGAUGCUAGCGACACUAUCAUAUACGUGAGCCAAAAGGCGCAAACGGUCCCGGGCAAAGGUAAGGCGACUCCCGUGGGAAUACCGUGCGUGAGGCCGCAAAGUGAUAUGAGGUGUUACCGGCUAGAUCGAUGUGACAUCGAGUCGGGGUCCUGACAUGGGCACUCGAUGUCGUGGUAUCAGCCGAAGCCUUCUAGACGUCAGUGACUGAGUGGCGCGCGCCAGAUUGGAAUGUAAGCCUGCUCUUGUAUUAAGGGGGCUAGUUCUGCUUUCGGCUGCCCACGCAACGUGGAGGUGUGCAAUGGGCGAUGGGCCCAGAUCCGUGCGCCAUAGGAGUUAGACUGGCGUGCUAACCUCUCUGUUAGGCCUAGGUGGGGCUGCGACGUGUUGAUCUUCCGAGGCCGGGCAUGACCCAGGAAAGUGUGUCCGGCCAAAUUGAUAGAGGCGGGGUGUCCCGAUCUUUCGAUGAGAUGAUAACUAUCGAUUUGGUGGAGACGACUUUGAUGAUCCGACUACAAACGUGCAACGACGUUGUGCCUUAGCAAUCGCUAAAUCAACUCCGAGAGGUUAUUGACCACGCCGGAACACGAUCAACCUGACCACGAAGGUCUAUUCCUGCAAGCAAUCGAAGAACAAGCAAGAAUAUGAUAAAAGCAAUCUGAAUAUCGCGAAUAUGUAUGAAGUAUUGAUAAUGGUGGGGAUCCGAAAAGUGGUCUUGGUCUGGUCGUUGGACACAAACGAAGCACACGAAGUUGCAAUGGCUAACUUUUAACUAAAAAAAUCCCAAAGUCUAAACGAUGCCCUAAGGGCUGUAUAUAUGGAGGAAGAGGGGGGAAUUUCGUGGCCCUUGGUGGAGGAGUCCGAAAUCAACCCUAUCUCUUGUUUCCCCACACAUACGGACUCUAAAAAUAGCCUAUACUUAUGUAUUUCGAAAUUACAUGGGCCUGGCCCAAUAAUAAGGUGACGCAGCACCUAAAAUAGCCUCGGGACGAAAUUUAUGAAGUGGCAUCUUGUAUAUUUCGUCCAAGGCUUCAUGCACCCAUUAUGGUGGCUUCAAAGUCCUGAAAUCAUCACUUGUAACUCCGUUCUUGUUCCCCUUGUGCAUGCCAUCAUCUCCAUGCUUGUUCUUGCUCCAAUGUUCAUCCUUCUCCAAGCUAGACCCUUCAUUUGUAAGCAAAACAAAUGUAUCCAAUUUAGGCAGCAUCAUAUUCUCAUGAACAUUAGAAUCAUUACCAAGAAACGAAAGUACCUGGUAAUUUAGUUGGUGUGCACGAGCUCUAGUAAUUGGUCCAGUAUGUAUAGCAGCAGGGACUGUGGGUGUAACAAUUGUAUUAAUGUCCUCAUCACAAAUGGGAUCGAGCGUGUUGGGUUAUGUGGUGCACCCCUGUAGGGAAGUUUAUCUAUUCGAAUAGCCGUGUCCCUUGGUAAAAGGACGACCCGGAGUUGUACCUUGACCUUAUGACAACUAGAACCGGAUACUUAAUAAAACACACCCAGACAAGUUCCACAGACAACCCGGUGAUCGCUUUUCCACAGGGCGACGAGGGGAGGAUCGCCGGGUAGGAUUAUGCUAUGCGAUGCUACUUGGAGGACUUCAAUCUACUCUCUUCUACAUGCUGCAAGACGGAGGCUGCCAGAAGCGUAGUCUUCGACAGGAUUAGCUAUCCCCCUCUUGUUCUGGCAUUCUGUAGUUCAGUCCACCGAUAUUGCCUUUUUACACAUAUACCCAUGCAUAUGUAGUGUAGCUCCUUGAUUGCGAGUACUUUGGAUGAGUACUCACGGUUGCUUUUCUCCCUCUUUCCCCCCUUUCCCUUCUACCUGGUUGUCGCAACCAGAUGCUUGAGCCCAGGAGUCAGACGCCACCGUCGACGAUGACUCCUACUACACUGGAGGUGCCUACUACUACGUGCAGGCCGCUGACGAUGACCAGGAGUAGUUUAGGAGGAUCCCAAGCAGGAGGCCUACGCCUCUUUCGAUCUGUAUCCCAGUUUGUGCUAGCCAUCUUAUGGCAACUUGUUUAACUUAUAUCUGUACUCAGAUAUUGUUGCUUCCGCUGACUGAUCUAUGAUCGAGCAUUUGUAUUCGAGCCCUCAAGGGCCCUGGCUUGUAUUAUAAUGCUUGUAUAACUUAUUUUAUUUUUAGAGUUGUGCUGUGAUAUCUUCUCGUGAGUACCUGAUCUUGAUCGUACACGUUUGCGUGUAUGAUUAGUGUACAAUUGAAUCGGGGGCGUCACAAGUUGGUAUCAGAGCCGACUGCCUGUAGGAAUCCCCCUUCCACACUCCUUGGCCGAAGUCAAGUCUAGUCACUACAAAACUUUUACUAACUUGGCUGUGUGGCUUACGGGCCUACGUCGCCAUUGGGUGGUAUUAGGAUCUUUUACUCCUUGAUCUUUACUUUGGGACUCUGAGCUCUCUUCUAUUCGGGUUAAAUGAUUUUGCUAAAAACAAAAGUAACUUUAGGUUCUCGCAAGUACUUUCUCCCGGAGAGCCCCUCGCUUCAGAUGAUCGCCUGCUGCACUAGAAGAUUCCGAAGUUACUCUAUGAUGUUCCCUCGAGUCUUUGUGCCAUCACAUUUGCGAUUUCCUUCCACUGUCAACCCCUAUGAAAACUGCAUACACUUGCCAUUCAUACAAUCAUUCCCUGUUGAUCUUAUUAUUACAAGAUGUCCCGAAAUACUCUUUAUUGUCCCAAAAAUCCUUUGAGCUCACUGCCUUGCAAUUCUUUACCACAUGAAUACCCAUACGGAUAAUUCCUUGCACUUAUCGAGUAUCCGCUCCUUCUCAGUUGUUCAUGUGUUUCACUAAAGUCUUCGAAAUACCAUUCGAUCUUCCGAAAAUCCUAAGCAUCCUAUUGCUAUUGAAGUUCUUACCUUGCUGCAUUAUGGUUAAUUCUAUAUAUCUAGUAAUCUUCGUUGGCAUCCUUUGUUAUUAUCAUUUUGGGUCCGUUGAUUCGAAAUGUUGCGAAUGCCCGGAAUCAUCAGUUGAUCCUUAUGAAUUAUCUUCCCGACACAGACGUCAUUCCAGACAUGAGUUGGUUGUCGGCAAUUCAAACCUUUAUUGAUUGUCCAACUAAUUGUUUUCAAAUUAUCCUUCCUUGAUCAGAGCGUCUGCUUCUGAUCCUUCAUUUUGGAAACCAUAUUUUCCUUCUAUUUAAGCGUCAGACUAAUCAGGUGAUUCUUGAAUCUGAUGCCUCUGUAUUCUUUCUUUCUCUGAUUGAGUACCGAUACUCACAUCAGCUCCGUUGUGGAUUGCCCGAUCCAUUGUUGGAUUUCAUCCGACAUCGUCCUUCAUAUUCAAUAACCUUGUGAGCCUUUCCACAGGUAUAUAAUGCCUUUGGUAAAUUGUAUCCUAUGCUUGGCCAACCAUGCCCUGCUUUUGAGCUUGUGUAUUUACUUUUGAAACUUGCGGUAUAUGUUACUAAGAUGCCCGAUGGGUUGAACCUAUGCCUUCCCCUAAUCCGUGAGAACAUGAAAGUUUUCACAAGUCAUACUCUACUGGUGUUCUAGCAGAUAAAAUUCCAGCACUAUAGUUAUAUCAAAGCAAGAGGUGAAUGAAAUGAUAUGCAUUAAAGAAGUGGGAGUCGACCUUGAACUUUGUGUUCAUGCCCAUGAAAAUGACGCAGACCGUCUCGGAAGCUUCUUGCAAAAUGAUUAUCCAGCUGUAUGAUUCUUUCGGUAUUCUUGAAAUUGAUUUCUUACAGUUAUGGUUCCGACCAUGCUGUCCUGAUCUGAUAUAUCUGAUGGGAAUCCAUUCCAGUGCCUCGUCUAAUUUUGGCAAUGUUGAAGUAUCUACUGUCAUAGGUCAAUGACCCGGUUCUACUUCUAUCAUGUUCUACCUUCGAGUAUUACCCCCGGUAUCUCGGAGAUGUCUUGCCAUUGGACCACAUCUUACUAACUUUGUUGAAGUAAUGUCUUUCCUUGUCGUAAUCACUCUACGGGUUUUGGGUUGUUGCAACCGAGGACACCGACUAGUGAAAUUAUUCCGCACUACAAAUCAAAUACCCCUAGUAUUUUUACUAGGAAAUUCUGAACUCAAUCUGGUCAUUCCUAGACUAUUGGCUGCAUCCUGGUCUUGCUAUCUUUGACUGUGCUACCUCGUCCUUCUCUGGUGUACAAAUUCUUCAGUGUGUGAGCACGACUUACGUCGAGCUUUCAACAUUUUGUUACUUGUCUUGAAAGGCAACCUUGGUUCCGAGCUUGCAUCUUAUAUAUUGAUCCUAUAACUUGCCACUUCGCCAUUUCCUUGCUUGUUGCCAUUGUUGUUUGAUUGCAUCCUCUUGAAACCUUCCGACAAAUGUGUCGGAUCACCUUCAACACUUUGACUUCUUCCGAGGUGUCAACUGUGCUCAUGAUGAGAAAUACCCUCCUUGCCCUCGAUGAUUUUUAUUAUCAUCGACAACACCCUUGACUUCCUUUCAUCGCGAACUUGUCCACAUUAUGAAUACAACUUGCUCUCCAGCUAGUGUUGUGUUCUUCCUCGAAGUAUUACUAUCUUUUCUGUCGAGAAUGUUGUGGGGAUUGCUCCACCUCUUAGAAAUUCUCGGUAUGAUGAUACUUCUCACCAUCACAAUUUUUUUCUUGGUCCUCGUGUUGAUUCCAACCGGGGUAGCAACAAUUGAACGGUGCUAUUUGGAUUUUGCCCUUCUAGCAACCCUAUUGCUUUGAAGCUAAUGGUCGGCCAUUCAUUCUUAGACUAUUGACUAUUGAAUCAUCAUUCUGACAUUGGUCGUGCAACCCAACCCAUAUUUCGGGCGCACCUUUCAACCAAUGUUUAAUUGUGUAUGUUUUCCUCGAGCAUACUUCAUUAUAUCAUUUGAUCUAACAAAUGUUAUCUCCUUGUUCACAUAAUUGUGGAAAUCCAUCUUGUGGAAAUCUCGGUGAGUUGUCAUUGAGUUCAUCAGCCACCUCCUCCUCCUCUCCUUGGCUUAAUGAUGAACUCUUGUUUCGGAACUCGCUUCCAUAGUUCAUUUCCCGAGAAUCAUAUAAUGUCAUCUCUUCAAUUGUGUUGCACCUAUUCUUCUCAGGCAUCCUCAGUCUGAGGUGUCCUGACACCAAUCAGAUUUGAAACUUGUCAGAUAUGAUGGUUGGAAAAUUUUCCAAGAGUCAUACCAUUGAUCUUUAUAUAACCCAGUAAGGUGAUAACAUGCCUAGCACACCUGGUCGGAGGCCCUAUUGUUAUAGUUUCCUUUUCAACAAGGUUACCAUGAGGAAAUUGUAAGACUUAUUCUAUAAGUUGUUCCUGAUGGAUCCUUCGUGUAUCCAAAGUCUGACCUUUGUCUGAGGACCUUGCCAAUGCUCCCUCGAAGCAUGUAUGUGGUACUCCUAUCAUCAAUAAGAACAUUUGAAGCACAAUGCUAAAUUUUCUUUAUCAAUUAUUCAAACACUAUUGUUUGGGUAAUGUCAUGAAAUUUCUCUCCCCUUACCUAAAUGGUUUUGUACCUCCUAUCUUGUCAGGGAUAUCAUGCUCUGCUUGUCCUUGGGAAGGAUAUACCCCUAAAAUAUGUGUUUAAACACAUUUUCCUCUCCAUUGUUUUGUUUAAACUGAUGAUCACCUUUUCCUUUCCUUUGUAUUGUUUAACCUUUCUCGUGGUUUAUAUGAUCUAAGCAGUAAUGAUUCGCUGCCUAUGUAAACACCCUGGUGUACGACCUUGUCAGUAAGACCGUGUUACUAUUCUUGAUGACAUUCCGGUACCCACCGAUGGGUGAGAACUUUGCCAAUUGGUUCGCCUCGUUCAACAAGCAUGAAAAUUGCUCUCUUCGUUCCCCGUCCUUGGUACCGACAUUAUUGCCGGCAUAGCUGGAAAGCUAUUCACUGACAUGCCUCCCUGUCGCGGUUGUACAAGAUGUCACCACCCUUCCUACUUUCAACCCACAUGGUGGCCCCAUAACCCACAGGUCCCAGGAUCGAAACCUGACUCUUCUUUACAACCCGGAUUCUAAUGUAUCCUUUGCACCUAGCUUCGUAUGUGAUUCACGAGCUAAAUUCUAUACCAUUAUUUCAUCCUGGAAUCAAACACCCUGUUAGUCUCGUUGUUCAAACCCCCAUUCCAGCUUAUGCCUAGUCAUCGAAUGAUUGCCUAUCUGUUUGAAACUUUGGUACCAUCGUAUAUUGCACUCAACAAAUUCAAUGAAAUACGACUCGUGGGGUACCUUGUGUAUUUCCCAUUGAGUUCACCGUCAGAUGCCCAGCUUUGUGGAGAUGCGUUCUUCUGGAGUUUUACCCCAUGGUCGCGUUCGUAGGACGAUGGAGAUCGCGAAGAAAGGAUGACGACUUGAUCAUGGUGACUUGAAGCAGAGAAAUGAAGAUAUCAACGAAAGGGAUCAACCUCUUCGAAAGGGCAGCCAAGACCAAGAAGACUCGUUAGGUUUUUCGCUACUAGCACUUUCCCCCCUUACCCCACCCCUUAAAUCUCGGGACGAGAUUUCUUGUAGUGGAGGAGAAUUGUGACGCCCGGAUAAUUAAGCUACAGUAACCCUCUGCUAAUCAUGCCACGUCACCUCAAUUACUGUUGCUAAUCUCGCGUUAGUUUGAAACCGAUUCGAAUCCAAAUUAAAAAUCAGGCAAACAACAAAAGUUUUCAAACAAUGAAACUAAAAUGUUCGGGUCAUGCCAGAUAAUGCAUAGGUGAUUAUGGUAGUGAAACCAAACUUUUAUGAAAUGCUUAACUGCACUAAAAUGGUUUAAGUAGUAUAAAACCUAAUUAUUUAAAUGCCUUUACUAAUUAAUAAAAUAUCAAACUAAAUUAUUUGGGGACUAGACUUUUUGUGACAGUGGCCUAAAUUGAAAUACUAAAUUAGAAGCCAAGUAUAUAUUUUACAAAAACUAAAACAAUAGGAAACAAAGAGAAAACAGAAAAGAAAAUAAAUAAAAAGGAAAAGAUAAAAUGAAAAACAAAAGAAC